CAUUUUUUGUGUGAUAUUUAUACUCGUGUUUUGUGCACAAUAUAUACGAAACGAACGUAACCUUGGUUGUGAUUGGGCUUUUAAGAUCAACAGGAAAUAAAUUCGUGCAGAAAACUAGGGAUAUAUUACCUGCGAGGCCAUCGGGUCAAAACUGAAUAAACAGUAAAGUCUAUUAAACUUAUUCAUUAGUUGUGGCCAACAAUUGAUUAAAUCUUUAAAUAAAAUUAUUUAACAAUCAGCAUUUAAAGCUGGUUUUAAUAGGCUGUUUUUCAUAAAAUAAAAGUAAGAAUAUACAGAAAUGGUGAAACCUACUUACUGAUCAGCUUCACACUCUAAAACAAUAAAUUAUUACAACAAUUUUUACUAUAUUCUAAGUACUUAUUUAAAACCUGAUAUUACUAAUUAACACAGGGGGCAACACCGUCACCUUAUUUUUCCUAAUUUCCUAGAGGACUUGAUGAGCAUUGAUUUUAGAAUAUUUACUGAACUAUUGUUGACAUUUUGUAACAAGUCAGUGGGGAGUUCCAGUGUUCCAUGUCAGGAAUGUAUAAUUUUCAUUUUAUGAUGUUUUAUGGCGUAUAUAAAAUUAUGUGGAGGGAGAUGAGAAUGAAACAACAGAAUUUAUCUCAGAAAUACAGAAAAAUUGAAUUGGAUAAGUUCAAAAAAAUGCUACAUGUGAAAGAUAGUGCAACAUCCUUGACAGGAUGGAUCUUUAUAUACAUUUAUGGCACGAAUAGUUGUACUGCACUAAAAGUUGAACAAACAGUUGCACUAGAACUGUUGUGUCUAAUAGCUUUUUCAAUUCCUUUGGUAAUGUUAAACAUAUUUAAUUGCCCGAAAAAUAGAACAAUACCACUUGUAAUAUAUCUGUGACAACCUCUUCCUUUGCCCUUAGACAUUAAUUGUUAUUAACAUGAAAGCUGGUAUCCAUUACUACAUGUACAUAAUUUCAGUUGUUGCAAUCGUGUUGUAUAUCAUAUACUUCAACACUUUUGAAGUUAAGUUCUUUGAAUGAUGAAAUUAGAUGCUAAUCAGAUGUUAUUAGCACUGAUGAAGAUCCGGGCUUACGGAUCGAAAGCUUUGCAGUAAUAAAUUUACGUGGUGUUUCCACAAACAAAAACAAUUACUUCUGAAGUUGUUUUAGUAUAACAUGAAUAAAAAAUUAAUCAAACACCACUGUUGAAAACAAUACUAAAUGUUAGGCAACUACGACAUCUUCAGUUGAAAAUGUCAAACAACAUGUUAUCUUCUGGAGUGGAAAAGACAAUAAUUCUGGUUGGGUAUGUAAACAUAUGACUUGUAUGAAAAAGUAUGAAAACAAACAAUAUAGCGAUAUAAUAUAUAGUAUGUUGUGCCAAAACAGGCAAUUAUGGAUUUGGUAAAGCACUUGGGAGAA